UUUGUUUGCAAGAAAGUGGGGUGGAAGUGGGAAGGGGGAAGUAAUUUUCGGUGAAAACUGACCACUUCUGUUGUUUGGUUCACCGUAAUUUUAUUACGCUCGAAAGUCUAGUUCACCCAAAUUAAUGAAAUUGACUUCCCCCUCCCAUGGGGUGAAGUCAAUUUCGGUGAGGUGAAAAAAGGCAAGAGUGGGACUUGAUGUGUUAGGGUUACCCUCUUCUCUACCCUUUCCUUUCAUCCAAAUAUAUUCAAUUGUGGAAGUAAUUAAAUUUUUUAUUUUGAUUGUAUGUCUAAAAUUUGAUCAAAUUUGAUUAGGUAAGUUUUAAUAUAUUUUUUAUUUAAUUUGUAUAUUUAGAAAAUGAUGAAAAAUGAAUUUGUUAAAUGUUAAUAAUUUUUUAACUUUAGAAUUUUAUUUGUUGCAUUAUUAUAAUUUAUAUGCAAACAAAUAAUAUAAUUUUUUAAAAUUUUAUUUUAUAAUUAUACAUAAAUAUAAUUAUAUACAUAUAUAAUUAUACUAAUUUUUAUUAUUAUAAUUUAUUAUUCAGUAAGUUACAAAAUAGACAAUGAUAUCACUUCGGAGGUAAGUAUACACCGGAGGUUGAGAACUACACUUUUUACGUCAUCUACUUCCUACCAAACAAACAACAGAACUCGCAGAACUGCACUUCCACAGUUAGACACAAACAGCGGAAGUGAAUUAAUUUUCACCCCAACUCCACUUCAACCCAAAGUUCACUUCCACCUCAAGUUUACUUACGUUGAAACAAACAUGAUCUAAGUCAAGGUCUAAUCCUAUAGACUCAAAACACAUCGCUCACAAACCCCAAGCCACUC
rnacentral:lncRNA from 1 species